UUUAUUGAAUUAAACCGUUCGAAAGGAACCGGUUUGUGGCAAAGAACUGCACUUCCCAUUAGCAUUUCGAAUUAAGUGUUAUGAACCCUAAUUUCAAUUUAAAUUAUGCAUUAUGUCUCUGUUUUAAAUGAUUGGUCGUGUUUGAAAUUCUGCUUUGAGAAAUGCACUGAGUGGUCAACACAUAACACCACGUGCCAAAUGCCGGAAGUUUUUUGUUCGUUGUGAAUUUGCUGAAGCAAUGGUCCAGGCACUGGCAGAGCGAGCCAUCUCCUCAUUAGAGAUGAAAAUCAAAUAUUAAAUUAGUAAGUAGAGAUUAAAAUGCACAUACUUCAGUACCUAACACUAAAAUAAAACCUGUAAUAAUUGCAAAUGUUAUCCCGCAUCACAGGUGGUCGUCGUGAAGCAGGUGGAAAGAGCGUCUUGACAUGAAGAUGCACUGAAAACCUUUACGCUGCAGGACUAUCAGACAGGCAGUUAUCCUGAAGCAGGUGGGAAGAGACUCCAUGAAGUAUGCUGAUGCCGGAUGAUCCUUGAUGUGUUCAAUGUAUUCUACUUUCCAUGGGGCAGAAAGACCUGCAUCUUAAAACACUGUCUUUGGCAAACCUUUCUGGUGUUUUUUUUUUUUUUUUUUUUUUUUUUUCACAGAGUAGCUACUAUUCACAAAUGCUCUGCAAAUUUUUAUGCUCCAGACAGAUUCACCUUUUGGCGACUGUUAAAAUGUGACCUAAUAAUAUGAUCUUACUUUUAUAAAAGCAUGGUGCCUGUUAAGUACAUUAAGAAGACAAACAAGUCGGUUCAGUGUGCUUUUAAUUGUUCUGAUACUCCCAAGUAUUAUUGUGUUUUUCUUUUUUUUUUUUUAUAUAUUAAAUGUAGUAAUGUCAGUAUACAUCACCCAAAUAAAGUUGUUGAUGUGAAGAAAAGUUUUAAUUAUUUAUAACUUUAUUAAAGUCAAACACAAUAUAUAA